UGGGGAAUAUUGCACAAUGGGCGCAAGCCUGAUGCAGCCAUGCCGCGUGUGUGAAGAAGGCCUUCGGGUUGUAAAGCACUUUCAGCGAGGAGGAAGGUGGUGAGCUUAAUACGCUCAUCAAUUGACGUUACUCGCAGAAGAAGCACCGGCUAACUCCGUGCCAGCAGCCGCGGUAAUACGGAGGGUGCAAGCGUUAAUCGGAAUUACUGGGCGUAAAGCGCACGCAGGCGGUUUGUUAAGUCAGAUGUGAAAUCCCCGGGCUCAACCUGGGAACUGCAUUUGAAACUGGCAAGCUAGAGUCUCGUAGAGGGGGGUAGAAUUCCAGGUGUAGCGGUGAAAUGCGUAGAGAUCUGGAGGAAUACCGGUGGCGAAGGCGGCCCCCUGGACGAAGACUGACGCUCAGGUGCGAAAGCGUGGGGCAGCAAACAGGAUUAGAUACCCUGGUAGUCCACGCUGUAAAACGAUGUCGAUUUGGAGGUUGUGCCCUUGAGGCGUGGCUUCCGGAGCUAACGCGUUAAAUCGACCGCCUGGGGAGUACGGCCGCAAGGUUAAAACUUAAAUGAAUUGAC
rnacentral:rRNA from 1 species